rnacentral:rRNA from 1 species
GACGAACGCUGGCGGCGUGCUUAACACAUGCAAGUCGAACGGUAAGGCCCUUCGGGGUACACGAGUGGCGAACGGGUGAGUAACACGUGGGUGAUCUGCCCUGCACGUCGGGAUAAGCCUGGGAAACUGGGUCUAAUACCGGAUAGGACUCCUGGUUUCAUGGUUGGGGGUGGAAAGCUUUUGCGGUGUGGGAUGGGACCGCGGCCUAUCAGCUUGUUGGUGGGGUAAUGGCCUACCAAGGCGACGACGGGUAGCCGGCCUGAGAGGGUGACCGGUCACACUGGGACUGAGAUAUGGCCCAGACUCCUACGGGAGGCAGCAGUGGGGAAUAUUGCACAAUGGGCGCAAGCCUGAUGCAGCGACGCCGCGUGAGGGAUGACGGCCUUCGGGUUGUAAACCUCUUUCAGCUAUGACGAAGCGCAAGUGACGGUAGUAGCAGAAGAAGGACCGGCCAACUACGUGCCAGCCGCCGCGGUAACAC